rnacentral:rRNA from 1 species
GUACUGACGUGCCAGCGGGUGCGGUAAUAGGGGGGGGGCGGGGGUUGUCCGGAAUUACUGGGCGGAAAGAGCUCGUAGGUGGUUUGUCGCGGCGUCUGUGAAAUUCCGGGGCUUAACUUCGGGCGUGCAGGCGAUACGGGCAUAACUUGAGUGCUGUAGGGGAGACUGGAAUUCCUGGUGUAGCGGUGGAAUGCGCAGAUAUCAGGAGGAACACCGAUGGCGAAGGCAGGUCUCUGGGCAGUAACUGACGCUGAGGAGCGAAAGCAUGGGGAGCGAACAGGAUUAGAUACCCCAGUAGUC